rnacentral:rRNA from 1 species
AAGAGAGUUUGAUUCUGGCUCAGGAUGAACGCUGGCGGCGUGGAUAAGGCAUGCAAGUCAAGGGGGUUUUGGGAGCAAUUUCAAAACAACCGGCGAACGAGUUAGUAACACCUUGGUACAUAACCUAAAGUCGGGCACAACCCCGCGAAAGCGGAGCUAAUUCCCGAUGUUGAAGCAAUUCCAAAGGAGCAAUCCGCUUUGGGAGUGGCCUAGGUCCUAUCAGCUUGUUGGCGGGGUAAAAGCCCACCAAGGCUAUGACGGGUAGGGGGCGUGAGAGCGCGUUCCUCAACGACGACACUGAGAUACGGGUCGUACACCUACGGGUGGCAGCAGUCAAGAACAUUCGACAAUGGGCGAAAGCCUGAUCGAGCGACGCCGCGUGCAGGAAGAAGUCCUUCGGGAUGUAAACUGCUUUUGCGUAGGAAAAAUUUUGAUUGUACUACAAGAAUAAGGGGUUGCUAACCUCGUGCCAGCAGCAGCGGUAAUACGAGGACCCCGAGCGUUAUCCGGAAUUACUGGGCAUAAAGAGCGAGUAGCCGGUUUUGUUAGUCUGAUGUUAAAUUCCGAGGCUUAACUUCGGAGCCGCAUCGGAAACGGCAAGAGUCCAGCUCAAAGUUAUUUUCUAAGACGAAAUUGAAAUAUUUGAGACGAAAUAAAGAAAAAAUUUUAAGGCAUAGCCUAGCAGGUAAGAGGUAAGCGGAACGUGCGGUGUAGGGGUGAAAUCCAUUGAUAUCGCACGGAACACCAAAAGCGAAGGCAGCUUACUGGUGCUUUGCUGACGGUCAAUCGCGAAAGCGUGGGCAUAAAAAAGGAUUAGAUACCCUUGUAUUCCACGCCCUAAACUAUGCUGACUAGCUAUUGGGAGCAUCGACCCUUCCAGUGGCGUAGCUAAUGCGUUAAGUCAGCCGCCUGGGAAGUACGAGCGCAAGCUUAAAACUUAAAGAAAUAGGCGGGAAUUCGCACAAGCGGUGGAUCAUGUGGUUUAAUUCGACACUGAGCGAAGAACCUCACCAAGGCUUGAAAUCCUAGUGUAAGCUCCGGGAAACCGGGGCCCCCGCAAGGCUCUAGGACAGGUGCUGCACGGCUAUACGGUCGUCAGCUCGUCUCGUGAGAGGUUUCCUUAAGUGGAUUAACGAGCGCAACCCCUAUCGUCUGUUAUAUUUGUCAGGCGAGACUGCUUUCGUAAGGAAGAGGAAGGUGGGGAUGACGUCAAGUCAGCGUGGCCCUCUGAUGUCUUGGGCUACACACAUGAUACAAUGGAUGUUACAAUGGGUUGCCAACCCGCGAGGGGGAGCUAAUCCCAUCAAAGGCAUCCUCAGUUCGGAUAGGAGGCUGAAACUUGCCUCCUUGAAGCCGGAAUCGCUAGUAAUCGCAGAUCAGAACGCUGCGGUGAAUACGUUCUCGAAUUUUGCACUCACAAUAAAAGCGCUCGGCAGGGCCCGUCAAGUCAAGGGAGCUGGGAAUACCUGAAGAUCCGUAUUUUUAUAUGGAGACACGGUAGGCUCAGUGACAAGGACUAAGUCGUAACAAGGCAAGGGUAGCGGAAGCUGCUCUUGGAUCACCUCCUU